rnacentral:sRNA from 1 species
CUCGUGUCGAACCUUCGUCUCAAACCUUCAGUCACCUCCCCUCUGGAUCGUCUCUUCUCUACAGCUGUAAAUCAUUCUUCUCUGGAGCCCUAAAUCUGACGUAGUUGGAUUUUGACAGGCAUCGAUUGAGGCUGUUGUGUUGCAGUUUAAGCUGAGACAUUGAACUUGGUGCUGCGAAGGCCGAAGGAACCACAAAAAGGUGUUUUUAAUUUCCUCUCUUGCUCGGUUUUGUAUGCAAUGUAGUUCGGUUUUUAAUUUCCCUCCAUGAAUGAGUUUUCUUCAAAGUAAUUCCAGCAUGGUAAUGGGCGACCAAUUGCUGCUGAACAGUAAUAUGUGGAUGUAAGAUUUAUAAUUGAGG